GCAAAGGCUGUGACGGAGACGAGUAGGCGGCAGUGAACCGGUCAGCGAGCGCGCGGGUGGUGAGAGGCGCGCCAGAGUUCGGUCGCCGAAUAUCACUCCUGAGCCGGGAGGUGAACGCGCCAGGCGGACAAUCAGCGCGUCAGUAGCCUGCCCCGGUUGCGCCGACCGUUAUCCCGGCGGAGGUGUGCUGGCGCCUCGAUGAGUGCAGCCGACGGUGUAUCGGCUGAAUCAGGGUGGUACCGCGGGGUUUUCUACCUCGUCCCUGUU
rnacentral:ncRNA from 1 species